AUGUCAUAGUCUGUAUUUGUGAUGACAGCAGGGAGCUGAAAAUCCGGCGCCUGCUUUCAAUGGAUCUCAGAGUGUAAUUGGUCCCUGACCAGGAUGUGUUUAUGAGGCCGUUUCCAUCCAGGAACAGGAUGAACAGCAGAGGGGGAGUUUAUUAUCAGCGUGAUGAAUUUCCACAGCGCUGUGGAGGCCGGAUGGGUCAAACGAAGGGCGGCGCAGCAGUCAGAGAGAUGGCAGGGAGAUGAUGGAUGAGCUUUGGCUCUGUUUAAAGCCCUAUCUGCACACCUGAAUGUUGCUCCAAGCCUUGAGAACAUGGAGUGUCUUCUUCAGUCUGAUUGAUCCUCCUGUUUAUCAUUCUGCUGGAGAUGCAGCAGCUCAGCUUCUAACCAAAGUGAAGGUGAAGUGAAGAUAAAGCUGCUUGCUGCCCCCACUGGGAGGAUGCAGUCGCUGCGCCU